rnacentral:rRNA from 1 species
UGAGUAAUGUCUGGGAAACUGCCUGAUGGAGGGGGGAGUAACUACUGGAAACGGUAGCUAAUACCGCAUAACGUCGCAAGACCAAAGAGGGGGGACCUUCGGGCCUCUUGCCAUCGGAUGUGCCCAGAUGGGAUUAGCUAGUAGGUGGGGUAACGGCUCACCUAGGCGACGAUCCCUAGCUGGUCUGAGAGGAUGACCAGCCACACUGGAACUGAGACACGGCCCAGACUCCUACGGGAGGGCAGCAUG